rnacentral:rRNA from 1 species
UACGGGGGGGGCAAGCGUUGUUCGGAAUUACUGGGCGUAAAGGGCUCGUAGGCGGCCAACUAAGUCGGACGUGAAAUCCCUCGGCUUAACCGGGGAACUGCGUCUGAUACUGGAUGGCUCGAGUUUGGGAGAGGGAUGCGGAAUUCCAGGUGUAGCGGUGAAAUGCGUAGAUAUCUGGAGGAACACCGGUGGCGAAGGCGGCAUCCUGGACCAACACUGACGCUGAGGAGCGAAAGCCAGGGGAGCAAACGGG